rnacentral:rRNA from 1 species
GAGUUUGAUCCUGGCUCAGGAUGAACGCUGGCGGCGUGCUUAACACAUGCAAGUCGAACGGGGCCGCCAUUUUUGAAGCGAUUAGCUUGCUAAGAGUGGAAAUGUUGGCGGCUUAGUGGCGGACGGGUGAGUAACGCGUGGGUAGCCUGCCAUAUACAGGGGGAUAACACUUAGAAAUAGGUGCUAAUACCGCAUAAGCGCACGGAGCUGCAUGGCUCAGUGUGAAAAACUCCGGUGGUAUAUGAUGGACCCGCGUCUGAUUAGCUUGUUGGCGGGGUAACGGCCCACCAAGGCGACGAUCAGUAGCCGGCCUGAGAGGGUGGACGGCCACAUUGGGACUGAGACACGGCCCAAACUCCUACGGGAGGCAGCAGUGGGGAAUAUUGGACAAUGGGGGGAACCCUGAUCCAGCGACGCCGCGUGAGUGAAGAAGUAUCUCGGUAUGUAAAGCUCUAUCAGCAGGGAAGAAAGAAAUGACGGUACCUGACCAAGAAGCCCCGGCUAACUACGUGCCAGCAGCCGCGGUAAUACGUAGGGGGCAAGCGUUAUCCGGAUUUACUGGGUGUAAAGGGAGCGUAGACGGUAAUGCAAGUCUGGAGUGAAAUGCAGGGGCUCAACCCCUGAACUGCUU